rnacentral:rRNA from 1 species
GGAGGGUCCAAGCGUUGUCCGGAUUUAUUGGGUGUAAAGGGUGUGUAGGCGGGCUUGUAAGUCAGAGGUGAGAUCCUACGGGCUCAACCGUAGAACUGCCUUUGAUACUGCAGGUCUUGAGUCCUGGAGAGGUUGUUAGAAUUCGUGGUGUAGCGGUGAAAUGCGUAGAUAUCACGAGGAAUACCGGUUACGAAGGUUGACAACUGGACAGGUACUGACGCUGAGGCACGAAAGCGUGGGGAGCAAACAGGAUUAGAUACCCUGGUAGUCCACGCCGUAAACGAUGAUCACUCGGUGUCGCGGAGUAAUCUGCGGUGCCUAAGCUAACGCAUUAAGUGAUCCACCUGGGGAGUACGAUCGCAAGGUUG